GACGAACGCUGGCGGCGUGCCUAAUACAUGCAAGUUGAGCGCUGAAGGUUGGUACUUGUACCAACUGGAUGAGCAGCGAACGGGUGAGUAACGCGUGGGGAAUCUGCCUUUGAGCGGGGGACAACAUUUGGAAACGAAUGCUAAUACCGCAUAAAAACUUUAAACACAAGUUUUAAGUUUGAAAGAUGCAAUUGCAUCACUCAAAGAUGAUCCCGCGUUGUAUUAGCUAGUUGGUGAGGUAAAGGCUCACCAAGGCGAUGAUACAUAGCCGACCUGAGAGGGUGAUCGGCCAAAUUGGGACUGAGACACGGCCCAACCCACUACGGGAGGCAGCAGUAGGGAAUCUUCGGCAAUGGACGAAAGUCUGACCGAGCAACGCCGCGUGAGUGAAGAAGGUUUUCGGAUCGUAAAACUCUGUUGGUAGAGAAGAACGUUGGUGAGAGUGGAAAGCUCAUCAAGUGACGGUAACUACCCAGAAAGGGACGGCUAACUACGUG
rnacentral:rRNA from 1 species